GUCAAAUGCAGAAAUGUUAAUUCAUGCGUUUAUGACCUCAAGGUUAGACUAUUGUAAUGCUUUAUUGGGUGGUUGUUCUGCACGCUUGAUCAACAAACUACAGUUAGUCCAAAAUGCAGCAGCUAGAGUCCUUACUAGAACCAGGAAAUAUGACCAUAUUAGCCCGGUUCUGUCAACACUGCACUGGCUCCCUAUCAAGCAUCGGAUAGAUUUUAAAAUCUUGUUAAUUACUUAUAAAGCCCUGAAUUGUUUAGCUCCUCAGUACUUGAGCGAGCUCUUAUCGCAUUAUAGUCCUCCACGUCCGCUGCGUUCUCAAAACUCCGGCCGUUUGAUAAUACCUAGAAUAUCAAAAUCGACUGCGGGCGGCAGAUCCUAUUCCUAUUUAGCACCCAAACUCUGGAACAAUCUACCUAACACUGUUCGGGAGGCAGACACACUCUGUCAGUUCAAAUCUAGAUUAAAGACACGUCUCUUUAGCCUGGCUUACACAUAACACAUUAAUACGCUUCUAUUAUUCAAAUCCGUUAAAGGAUUGUUAGGCUGCAUUAAUUAGAUCAACCGGAACCGGGAACACUCCCCAUAACACACGAUGUACUCGUUACAUCGUAAGUAGAAUGGCAUCUACGCUAAUAUUUGUCUGUUUCUUUCCUAGUCUGUUUCUCAGUCCGUAUCCGAUCAGAUGGUGGAUCAGCACCAAGAGAUGAUGUCUACAGCCCUGAUCGUCAGCGGAGACCAGGACACCCAGAUGACCCCCAGAGACAGAUCCCCAGAUAUAUCAACCAAAAAUAACAAAAUAACUAAAAUAUAAUAAAAUACCUAACUACAUAAUACUACUAUUGUUAGAAAUUGCAACAAAAUUAAAAUAGAAAUAUAAACUUUUGAACUGCGGGUUUCGUCUGGUCAGAGGAGAACUGGCCCCCCGACUGAGCCUGGUUUCUACCAAGGUUUUUUUUUGUUCCAUUCUGUCACAGAGGGAGUUUUGGUUCCUUGCCGCUGUCGCCUCUGGCUUGCUCAGUUGGGGACGCUUAAUUUCUAGCGAUUAUCGCCGAUUUGAUUGCACAGAUACUAUUUAAACUAAACUGAGCUAGACAAUGACAUCUCUGAAUUCAAUAAUGAAAUGCCUUUAACUGAAAAUUGAGUGUUUAAUCUUAUCAUUAUACAUUACUGACACUCUAUCCUCCAAUUUGAUACUGUUAAGUGCUUUGACACAAUCUGUAUUGUAAAAGCGCUAUAUAAAUAAAGGUGACUUGACUUGACUUGAACACCUGGGUUGGGUUAUUUUGACCCAACCGGUUUGUUUAUUUUUCCUCUUCAUCGAAUUUUCUGGGUUCUUCACUCGUCUCGUCGUCAGACGGUCAAGCAGCUCGCAGCAAGCAGGAUUAUAAGGUAACGUUAGCUGCAUUAGCUACCCUUAACGUUAAAGCACAAUAUUGCAGAAUUUGUUUUGCCUCCCAAAUAAAUUUGAGAAAUGGUGGAUUCACAGUAAUGGGUCUACAAGCAUCCUAGAAAGUUCCCCAGGCUUCUAGAAAAACUUGGCAUGAUGCUAAAAGGGAGAGUGCUUUCAAAGUCCUGCCCACUCUGCUUCCCUAAUCAAUAUUCAAGAACGGAGGAAAGGUCUUCAGACCCACAACCAGAAUCCUGGAAGUCAUUCAUUUGACGUACAACCUGUGGGGACCAACACGGUGAUGCAUUCCUGCACAUUUUGUGCCUUGGUGACGAGACAGCGACAUCCCACACCUUCGCCAUUGUUUCGGGCCAUGCCAUUGAAACGGACUUGUUGCUUGAGGCUGUUUAUCUUUUUCAAGUCCUUUUUUUGUGCUUGAUGUUAGCUACACUAACAUCUUCCUUCCAGGAAAUUUCUCCAGCAUGCAGUAUAUCAUAUUGAUGGACAUGAGUCUUCAUGUGUGAAGUAUUUGAGGGCAACAGUUUUUUCUGGCCACUUGUAACGUUUUAAUUUUUUGUCACAUGUAUUGUCUGUUGUAGGUCUCUUUGUUUGGCUUAGGUUUAAUGGCACAAUGUUUGGACUGAUUCUCAUGUGGCAAUAAUCAAUUUUAUAGUGUUAUGAUGCUGCAAUGUUGACAAAGAAUAGGAAUCUACAGUACCUACAGUAGUUCACAAAGUCUUAUUUUUUAAAGAAACUGAUCUACAAAAAACGUAUUUGUGUCUGUAGGGAUUGGGUGUAAUGUGUAACAGUAUAGCACCCAUUCAAAAAAAUUUUUAAAAAGAAAUGUGAAAACUCAUUAAAUUGAUAUUUACAGUUGCAUUUUUUUGUGUUGUGUAAUUGUAUUACAGAAAAAUAAUAAUUUUACAUUCCUUUGUGAUUGUUAUUUAUUAUUAUUAUUAGUAAUAUUGGUAAAUAUAAAUGUAGCAAGGCAAUGAGACAACAAAUAACCCAAUGUUUGGGUAAUGUUUAACCCAGCAACACAGUUAACCUGACCCACUGGUUGGGUUAAAUAAACAACCCAGCAUUCUGGGUCAAAUGGCUCAACCCAGCACGUGUUCUGUCCCAUAGUUACCCAGCGGCUGGGUUAAGGUUGGGUUAUUUUUUAACCCAGCCUUUUUAGAGUGUACACACAUAUACCAAGACAUAGUAUAUGCACACUAGCUUGACCCAGCUGAUGUAAUUUAAAAUCAUCCUGCUUCAGUGUUUC